GGGAAUAUAGCUCAGUGGUAGAGCACUUGCCUAGCAUGCAAGAGACCCUGGGUUCAAUUCCCAAUACUACAA
rnacentral:tRNA from 1 species